rnacentral:rRNA from 1 species
AUUAAACGCUGGCGACACGCCUUACACAUGCAAGUCGAACGGUAGCGCGGGGCAACCUGGCGACGAGUGGCGAACGGGUGAGUAAAGCAUCGGAACGUGCCCUGGAAUGGGGGAUAACGUAGCGAAAGUUACGCUAAUACCGCAUAUUCUGUGAGCAGGAAAGCAGGGGAUCGCAAGACCUUGCGUUCUGGGAGCGGCCGAUGUCGGAUUAGCUAGUUGGUGGGGUAAAAGCCUACCAAGGCGACGAUCCGUAGCGGGUCUGAGAGGAUGAUCCGCCACACUGGGACUGAGACACGGCCCAGACUCCUACGGGAGGCAGCAGUGGGGAAUUUUGGACAAUGGGCGGAAGCCUGAUCCAGCCAUGCCGCGUGAGUGAAGAAGGCCUUCGGGUUA